rnacentral:tRNA from 1 species
GGCCGAUUAGCUCAGUCAGUAGAGCGUAGCGCUGAGGUCACGGGUUCGAUUCCCGUUCGGUCC